rnacentral:rRNA from 1 species
ACUUACCUACGGGGCGCAGCAGUGGGGGAUAUUGCACAAUGGGGGGAACCCUGAUGCAGCGACGCCGCGUGGGUGAAGGAGCGUUUCGGCGCGUAAAGCCCUAUCGGCAGGGAAGAAGAUGACGGUACCUGACCAAGAAGCCCCGGCUAACUACGUGCCAGCAGCCGCGGUAAUACGUAGGGGGCAAGCGUUAUCCGGAUUUACUGGGUGUAAAGGGAGCGUAGACGGCACUGCAAGUCCGGAGUGAAAGCCCACAGCCCAACUGUGGGACUGCUCUGGAAACUGUGGCGCUCGCGUGCGGGAGG